rnacentral:tRNA from 1 species
GUAUUUUUUAACUUUUAUUAAAAUUAAUAAAUUAAUAUAAAAAAUA